rnacentral:tRNA from 1 species
GGACCUGUAGCUCAGCGGGAAGAGCGGCGGCAUGUGAAGCACGCAGGUCGGGAGUUCGAGUCUCCCCAGGUCUA